ACCACAUCCAAAAAGCACAAUAGUGUCGAAAGUGGCGUUAUACUCCAAACGUUACAAUCAAUCAAAUUUGUUGCAUGCAUGAUAUAUUUGACACUGGACGUUAAGCAAAUUAUCAAUCAAUCAAUUUAGAAUAAAGAAUAAGCAUUCAACUAAUAGUGAUAUAAGCAGAGUCCAUUACUAGACACACCGUUGAACAAACACAGAAAACUUGACUUGAUUUCAAGCACAAAAUAUGGGUUGGGUAAACCAGUUUUACUUGAGAAGAAACAUUCCCCUUUGAGUGUCUAUACACAAUAAAAAUAACUGAUUUAUUUGUAUUGCUGCGUAUUCGGAUUUUUUAAAGGCAACUUUAUGAGCUGGACUUGUAAAAAGUCUAUGCGACUAGCAUGAUGAUCAAAACGAUGAUGAUGAUGAUGAUGAUGAUGGACACAACAGAUAUAAUUUAGAGGAAAAUGAAAAAUAUAGAUGAACACGUAAAAUUACAAGAUAUAAUUAUUUGUGCACAAUAAUUUCACACGUGACGAUGUUACAUACAAGUAGGGAUAUCCUGUCAACAUCUUGUCAUAUUGAUCUCACCUUUUCCGACAUCAGGUACAGUUUAAUACUUAUAUACUUUUUAUUAAUUAUAAAACCCGGUCCAAUUAAUUUUUUUUAAAUUGCUAUGCAAAAUGGUGUGACAGCAAAGUUUUGCAAUUAUCUAGGGUUUUACUUUUUUAAAAUGCCUUCACAAAAAGCUGUAACAGCAAAAUUUUGCAACUGUAUAAACUGUUUAAAAUGCCUUUACAUUGUCAUAAUUUCGCAUGAAAUAACAAAAUUGUUCUUGUAUGCUACAUUUCGUAACGUUAGUAGAAGAUAGUUUUGAUACAAUUGUUUUUGUAAAAUUUUGUAUCAAAAACUAAAAUCACAAAAAUACUGAACUUUCGAGAAAAAUUGAAAAAGGAAAGUCCUUAAUCGAAUGACAAAAUCAGAUAUAAAGCUCAAUCACAUCAAACGAAUGGAUAUUAACAACUGCCAUAUUCCUGACUUGGUACAGGCAUUUUCUUAUUUAGGAAAGGGCGCAUUAAACCUUGUUUUGAUUUUAAAGCUAGCAAAACCUCAUAUGACAUGUAUACUUGAAAUCAGAAUAAUUAGUUUUUUUAAAGGCAAAAUGAUUCACAUUAUCUUAAUUCACGUGAGAGUUACGCGAAAAUAUCGAGAACAAUUUCUUUCAAGUUUCGCAUAGUUACGUAACUCUGGCUCUGAAAGUAACUUCACAUUGUAGUUAAUUUUAUUGUUAGGGAACGACUUCAGAAGGUGGUUUGGUGGAGGGUAUGGUUUUUCCAAAUUUUUUUUAUCCCCAAUUUGAUUACAAAUAUUCUGUUCAAGCAGAUGACAAAAAAAAAACAUAUGCUGAAUCCAUACUUUAUGGUGUAAAUUUGUAUUAAAAUGAUUUGAUUGUAUGCGUUGAAAAACUAAAUGAAAAUGAGAGCGCAAAAGAAAAUUUUGACUCAGACAAAAAAAAAACGAAAAAAAAAACAUACAUGUACCCUCCCAAUCCCCCCCCCCCUCCUUGUUUUUUUUAAAGUUAAAUGGUUGCUCCCUUAAAUGCUUUAUAACGUUCAAUCUUAAAAUUGGUGAUAUUACUAACUGCGGAAAUAUGACAUAAUUAAAUUUGAAAAACUUGAAUAUCAGUUGUAGAUCAAGAUGGGUGAAAAUGGUGGUUUAGUUCGUAUUAUAAUCUAUAGUGUGGUUGGUUUAAUCGUAGCUGCAGUCUUCAUUGCUAUAGUUUUAGUAGCUGUCUCAUUGAAAAAACUGGCUUCUGAGGAAA
rnacentral:lncRNA from 1 species